rnacentral:tRNA from 1 species
UCCGGGAUCGUCUAAUGGUAGGACACCAGACUCUGAAUCUGGUAAUUGGGGUUCGAGUCCCUGUCCCGGAGCCA